CUCCUUGAACUGAGGGAGAAACCGGACAAAUUAGGAACAGCGACUCCAGUGAGACGGACAGCUCCUCUGAGGAAGAGAAGCUCCAGAACUUUAAAGACGAACCGUUUCUAACAAGAUGAUUCAGAGUCUUCAUCAGAAGGUGUUCCUCUCCGGCUCGGUGACCUCCUGCUGACGGAGGCGAAGACCAGAGGAGCAGAGCGAUCUGCAGCCGUGACUCAUCGCAGGACGCUCCCGCAGGAGCCGCUUCCUCUCACUCGACGCUCGAACACCGACGCGUGACCGGCUUUGUUUUAACGUGAUAACGGAACGCUGCAGGACUCACCUGCUUGAUCUGGUCGGACUCAGACACCUGCAUCGCCAUGGUUACCGCUCUGCAAGGAAAUAACACAAAUAGAAUCAACAAAUCCUUCAGAUGUGGAGCAGCAGAAUGAGAGGGAAAAGGUGAGAGCGGAUCUGGGGGUCAACAGAGAACUGUGUUUAACAGAAUCUGUGGAGGAAGGAAAACUGAUUCACAGAAACAACAAUCUCCAUCUCAGCCUCCAAGAGGAAUCUUUGCCCUCCAACCUGUUUAGAGCUUGUGGUGCGUUCAGGUACUGCCGAUAAUGAUGGAAAUGUCAUUCUCCUCAUUGUUUAUUGAUUAAGUCAAUAAAAUUACACAUUUUGCAGAGAAAUUCA